rnacentral:rRNA from 1 species
UACGAAGGGUACAAGCGUUGUUCGGAAUCACUGGGCGUAAAGGGUGCGUAGGCGGGUCUUUAAGUCAGGGGUGAAAUCCUGGAGCUCAACUCCAGAACUGCCUUUGAUACUGAAGAUCUUGAGUUCGGGAGAGGUGAGUGGAACUGCGAGUGUAGAGGUGAAAUUCGUAGAUAUUCGCAAGAACACCAGUGGCGAAGGCGGCUCACUGGCCCGAUACUGACGCUGAGGCACGAAAGCGUGGGGAGCAAACAGG